rnacentral:rRNA from 1 species
GGGCCCGCACAAGCGGUGGAGCAUGUGGUUUAAUUCGAUGAUACGCGAGGAACCUUACCAGGGCUUAAAUGUAGUCUGACAGGGGUGGAAACACCCCCUCCUUCGGGCAGAUUACAAGGUGCUGCAUGGUUGUCGUCAGCUCGUGCCGUGAGGUGUCAGGUUAAGUCCUAUAACGAGCGCAACCCCUGCCGUUAGUUGCCAGCAUGUAAUGAUGGGAACUCUAACGGGACUGCCGGUGCAAACCGCGAGGAAGGUGGGGAUGACGUCAAAUCAUCACGGCCCUUACGUCCUGGGCUACACACGUGCUACAAUGGCCGGUACAGAGGGCAGCCACACCGCAAGGUGGAGCGAAUCCUUAAAACCGGUCUCAGUUCGGAUUGUCGUCUGCAACUCGACGGCAUGAAGUCGGAAUCGCUAGUAAUCG